GCAGAACGCGAAGAACCUUACCUGGCCUUGACAUGUCUGGAAUCCCGGAGAGAUCUGGGAGUGCCGCAAGGAACCAGAACACAGGUGCUGCAUGGCUGUCGUCAGCUCGUGUCGUGAGAUGUUGGGUUAAGUCCCGCAACGAGCGCAACCCUUGUCCUUAGUUGCCAUCAUUCAGUUGGGAACUCUAAGGAGACCGCCGGUGACAAACCGGAGGAAGGUGGGGAUGACGUCAAGUCAUCAUGGCCUUUAUGGCCAGGGCUACACACGUGCUACAAUGGCAGAUACAGAGGGUGGCCAACCGGCGACGGGAGCCAAUCCCAGAAAAUCUGUCUAAGUUCGGAUUGCAGUCUGCAACUCGACUGCAUGAAGCCGGAAUCGCUAGUAAUCGCGGAUCAGCUACGCCGCGGUGAAUACGUUCCCGGGUCUUGUACACACCG
rnacentral:rRNA from 1 species